AUUGAACGCUGGCGGCAUGCCUUACACAUGCAAGUCGAACGGCAGCGCGGGGCAACCUGGCGGCGAGUGGCGAACGGGUGAGUAACAUAUCGGAACAUACCCUAGAGUGGGGAUAACGUAGCGAAAGUUACGCUAAUACCGCAUACGCACUAAGGUGGAAAGUGGGGGAUUCGCAAGAACCUCAUGCUCAUGGAGUGGCCGAUAUCUGAUUAGCUAGUUGGUGAGGUAAAGGCUCACCAAGGCGACGAUCAGUAGCUGGUUUGAGAGAACGACCAGCCACACUGGAACUGAGACGCGGUCCAGACUCCUACGGAGGCAGCAGUGGGGAAUUUUGGACAAUGGGGGCAACCUGAUCCAGCAAUGCCGCGUGAGU
rnacentral:rRNA from 1 species